rnacentral:tRNA from 1 species
GAUGCGUUGGACGAAUGGUUAAGUUAUCUCCCUUUCACGGAGACGAUGUAGGUUCAAUUCCUACACGCAUCA